UGCCUACGGGGGGCUGCAGUGAGGAAUAUUGGACAAUGGAUGGAAAUCUGAUCCAGCCAUGCCGCGUGAAGGAAGAAUGUCCUAUGGAUUGUAAACUUCUUUUGUAUGGGAGCAAUAAGGUCUUCGUGAAGACUGAUGAGAGUACCAUACGAAUAAGCAUCGGCUAACUCCGUGCCAGCAGCCGCGGUAAUACGGAGGAUGCGAGCGUUAUCCGGAUUUAUUGGGUUUAAAGGGUGCGUAGGCUGUUAUAUAAGUCAGUGGUGAAAUAUUCGGGCUCAACCGGGAUACUGCCAUUGAUACUGUAUAGCUGGAAUAUGGUUGCUGUGGGUGGAAUGUGUGGUGUAGCGGUGAAAUGCAUAGAUAUCACACAGAAUAUCGAUUGCGAAGGCAACUCACAAAGCCAUUAUUGACGCUGAUGCACGAAAGUGUGGGGAUCAAACAGGAUUAGAUACCCUUGUAGUCGUU
rnacentral:rRNA from 1 species